ACUGGAUUGGCCGAGUGGUUAAGGCGUUGGACUUAAGUUCCAAUGGACAAGUGGUCCGCGUGGGUUCGAACCCCACACCCAGUA
rnacentral:tRNA from 1 species